CUGUGAGUCUGGUUUCAGAAAAGCCUUUUUGUAAGAGCUGAGUCUAAAAGCCUUAGCUCAGUUUGCUUAGUCAAGAAGGGUACAGCUGGAUAAAAAGAACAUGAAGAAAAUAAAAAAAAAAACCCCAAAUAAUGGAACAACAAAAAAACUGUGAAGGAUAGUGUCAUUGGGAGUGACAAGAGGGUCGUUUUUGAUGUCUUGAGGGGAUCCUAUCAGCAGGGGAUACAGAGAGACUCCCACUGACUUCAGCCUUCAUGCACACACGUGGAAGGAGAAACCAUGUAGCUGAUCCAGCCUGGAGACCACUGAUGACAGCCUGGAUGAUGGACACAGAUUUCAGAAAAGGAGACAAGCCAAAAACAUUCACUUGAGAGUGACGUUUGAAGAGAACCAGCGUUCAUCUCCAUCAUCUGGCCUAAUAGUUUGAUGCAUCUUCCUUAGUAACAUGUCUCAUCUCUCCUUUAUCAUUUGCCUUAUGGUGACCAGAGCCUUCUACUCCAGCUGUUCCUCCUGUUUGUUGAUCCUGUGCCUGAAGAUUGCUCCGAGCUCUUUCGGGAAGAACAUUCGUUCCUCUGCUGUCUUAGGAAAAGGUCAAGAGAAAACAAAGAAGGGGUCUGGGCCACGUUGGAAGUAAAGAACAGCCCUCACCAGAUAACCAAACCAGCUGGCAUUUUGAUCUUGGACUUCCCAGCUUCU